GAUGAACGCUGGCGGCGUGCCUAAUACAUGCAAGUCGAGCGAACAGACGAGGAGCUUGCUCCUCUGACGUUAGUGGCGGACGGGUGAGUAACACGUGGAUAACCUACCUAUAAGACUGGGAUAACUUCGGGAAACCGGAGCUAAUACCGGAUAAUAUAUUGAACCGCAUGGUUCAAUAGUGAAAGACGGUUUUGCUGUCACUUAUAGAUGGAUCCGCGCCGCAUUAGCUAGUUGGUAAGGUAACGGCUUACCAAGGCGACGAUGCGUAGCCGACCUGAGAGGGUGAUCGGCCACACUGGAACUGAGACACGGUCCAGACUCCUACGGGAGGCAGCAGUAGGGAAUCUUCCGCAAUGGGCGAAAGCCUGACGGAGCAACGCCGCGUGAGUGAUGAAGGUCUUCGGAUCGUAAAACUCUGUUAUUAGGGAAGAACAAUUGUGUAAGUAACUAUGCACGUCUUGACGGUACCUAAUCAGAAAGCCACGGCUAACUACGUG
rnacentral:rRNA from 1 species